GGCCCUAUCACAGCGGCACUUCGGAAUAUAGGAACUGAAGUGACCCAUUAACGCGUCGCAGGGGAAAUCAUCGAAAUACCUGGUGUCCGUCCAUCCGGUUUUGUUUGCACUCUCAUGUGUACAAUUCUUGCCAGAUUUUUAUAUCAUCAGCAAUGACAAUUUCGAAAAUAAGUCCUAAGCUUUGACCUUUUGAAAUAUAAAUUAUAACGGAAAUCCCAUUGCAUUUUCUCUAAAGCUUUUAUUUCUCCAUUAAAAAUAAAAGGAAAAGGAAAAACAUUAAUUUUUAUUAGUUAUUGCUC
rnacentral:lncRNA from 1 species